AACGAACGCUGGCGGCAUGCCUAACACAUGCAAGUCGAACGAGACCUUCGUGCCUAUUGGCGCACGGGUGCGUAACGCCGGGGAACUUGCCCUUAGGUUCGGAAUAACUCCCCGAAGGGGGUGCUAAUACCGGUUAAUGUCUUCGGACCAAAGAUGUCUGGCGUUUGGAUGGGCCCGCGUUGGAUUCGCCAGUUGGUAGGGUAAAAGCCUAUCAUGGAGAGGUUCCAUAGCUGGUCGGUGAGGAGGACAUGCCACGCUGGAGAUACGGCACGGACCAGUACGCUACGGAGGGGUGGAGAGGGGAAUAUUAGAGGCUGGGCGAAAGCGUGAUCAAGCAAUGCCGGGUGAGUGAGGAAGGGCUUAGUGUUGUAAAGCUCUUUUACCCGAGGUGAGAAUGACAGUACCGGGAGAAUAAGCUCCGGCUAACUCCGUG
rnacentral:rRNA from 1 species